rnacentral:rRNA from 1 species
GGAGUUUGGACCGUGUCUCAGUUCCAAUGUGGCCGUUCACCCUCUCAGGCCGGCUAUUGAUCGUUGCUUUGGUAGGCCGUUACCCUGCCAACUGGCUAAUCAAACGCGGGUCCAUCCUUAAGCGAAAUUCUUUUCCUCACAAGACCAUGCGGUCUCGUAAGCAUAUGGCGUAUUAGCAGUGAUUUCUCACUGUUAUUCGCCUCUUAAGGGCAGGUUACCCACGCGUUACUCACCCGUCCGCCACUAGAAUUUCCAAGAAUCCAUCGAAACUUCAUCUCGGAGUUCCCGUUCGACUUGCAUGUGUUAGGCACGCCGCCAGCGUUCAUC